rnacentral:misc_RNA from 1 species
AGCAGCCGCGGUAAUUCCAGCUCCAAUAGCGUAUAUUAAAGUUGUUGCAGUUAAAAAGCUCGUAGUUGAAUUUCGGGAUCAAUAUACCGGUCGUGCCUUGGUACGUACUGGUAUCAUUGGUUUCUCCUUUCUGACGAACCAUGAUGUCAUUAAUUUGGUGUUAUGGGAAGUUAGGACUGUUACUUUGAAAAAAUUAGAGUGUUUAAAGCAGGCUUUGGCUUGAAUACAUUAGCAUGGAAUAAUGAAAUAGGACGUUCGAACCUAUUUUGUUGGUUUCUAGGAUCAACGUAAUGAUUAAUAGGGAUAGUUGGGGGCAGUUAGUAUUCAAUUGUCAGAGGUGAAAUUCUUAGGAUUUAUUGAAGACUAACUACUGCGAAAGCAAUUUGCCAAGGAUGUUUUCAUUAAUCAAGAACGAAAGUUAGGGGAAUCGAAGACGAUCAGAUACCGUCGUAGUCUUAACCAUAAACUAUGACCGACUAGGGAUCGGAUGAUGUUAAUUUUUUAAUGUACUCAUUCGGCG